rnacentral:tRNA from 1 species
AGUGGUUAAGCACUUGGCUGCUAACCAAAAGAUGGGUGGUUCAAAUCCACCAGCCACUC